AUUAUCCUUCCUGCUGGACAGAAAUUAUCUACACCUAUAACAGAUAAAUAUCUACUAUGUUAACUUUUCUUUCUACAGAGCAGUAAGGUAGAUCAGUACAUACAAAAUCAAUUAAAGAGGAAAGCGCGGUACAUCAUUGCAAGGAAAAUCAUCAGUUUCUUUAGCCUACUCCCAGGUUCUGAUAAUUAUCCUGACAAUCAAACCAUAAGCUGAGAAAAGACAUGUACGAUUUAAGCAGCCCAUGAGGAACACUUCUCCAGUACACAAUUUAUUGCUCUAUCAGUAACAGGCUCUUCUCCCUUCGCUCUGCCCUUCUCUCUCCUGCCACCUUGUGAAGAAGGACAUGCUUGCUUCCACUUCUGUCAUGAUUGUAAGAUUCCCGAGACCCCCCCAGUCACAUGGAACUCCACUGGUGUUGAGAAACUUCCUACAGGUCCAUUGCUGUGGAAUGAAGCAAAAGAGGAGUCUGCCAGCAUUGCAUGGAUUCUUCCAACCUGAACCAUGGACUGGAAACUCUGUCAAG
rnacentral:lncRNA from 1 species